rnacentral:tRNA from 1 species
AUUCUUAUAGUUGAGUUAAACAACGAUAGUUUUUCGAGUUAUUGGUCUUGGUUAAAGUCCAAGUAGGAAUA